rnacentral:lncRNA from 1 species
CUCUUUUUCUUAGGAUGUUUGUCCACUGAAGCAAAAGAGGUUUGAUAUAAGAUCUCCAGUAUGCAAAGUAUUGAUGCUUAUGAAGAUGCUGGCUUCAGUAUAGUUAUGCCUGAAGCUGUCUACUUUUCCUGAUCAGACCAAGAAAGUAACACCCACAGUCUUCACUGAGUCUUACUCCCAGGUGUGUAUACACAUAUAUUUUAAACAGUUUCAGAGUAAAGAG